UCUUUUUGUGGCCGUUUUUUUGUUGAAGGUAGCUAGGGGAGCUCUGUGUCGCGAGGAGGGGGCUUGCUCCAGGGCUAGGCAAGGAGGGGGAGGGGGCACCUAUGCGGCGGCGGCGGCUAGACGGUUAGGCCCGUCGCGUCGGCGGCGUCGGCUAGACGGCUAGGCCCGUCGCGUCGGCGGCAGCGACUAGACGGAUAGGCCCGUCUACGCCGGCUGCACCUAGUGCUCUUGCGGCCGCGACGGCCGCGGAGCUUAUGCAGCGGGCAGUGGUGGUGCUACCGUGGAGCGACGGCGGCGAGCCGUACCUACCGGCGGGGUUCUGUACCUAUUCGAGAGUACUAGGGGUGGGGUAGGGAGAGUAGGGGACUUAGGCAUAGGAGGAAGUAUGGUGGGUGCUAGACUAGGCCUUCUACGGGUGCUAGGCUAGGGGACCAAAGAAUAGCCCAAUAGGGGGAGAGCAGAGAGCAGAUCGUUGGGGGUAGAAGCCACACCGCUGUAACGACUGCAGCAGCGCUGGGGGGGUGUUAAGAUCCGAGCCGGAAGGAGCUGAGGUACGCACCGACUGUUCCACCAGAAGUAGGGCUCCACCAGACGAGCACGAGAGGACAAGGAGGACUUUGCCGCUCCCCAUCACGGCCAGCACCGAGUCGUCCUAUCGUAUUCGAACGGGAACAAGAAAACACAAACUUAGUCUGAACGACCAAGAGUCAAAAUGUACGUGUAUAGUUAGAAAGAAGACAUACGUCCAAUGUGUGGACUACUACAAAUGUCGCUCCGCGUCCUUGUUCGUCUCCGGCUCCUUCACGUCCGUGUGCAACGACUGGAACCGUCCACAUCCUUGGCGCGCUCCUUCCAAGUCACGCGACGUGGUCAGUCCGGUGCGGGCCCCGCGGCGCGGUUGUGUACACACACACCAGCCACCCAACCGGUUAUAGACGUAAGACGCUGAAGUAGAAGUGGUACCUGUGUUCGUCCCUGAUUAACCACCCAGAACCAUCGCCACGGCUCGUAGCCGCCUAGCUUCACCAGCUCCAGCGCCAAUUAGCUGGUCCUGCUCUGUACGUAGAACCUCGAUCGCGUCUCCCCCUUUCUUCGUCCAACCAGACCGGACCGGAGCGUUUACUUAACCUUGAAAGCCCGUUUCUUUUGUGUGUGUCCCGUCCUUGUACCGAUGAGAGCGGGAAGGUUCAAAGACUAGCUAGCUUGAGAAGCCCCUGUUCUUUUACUCUUUUCCCGUCCAGCAGCUACAUGUCUGGUGUCCACGAGUCUGCGUGCCGGCCUUAGUACCAGCAGUAUUGAGUAUUGGGUACUCCCCCACUGCUUCGUUCUUUCCUUCCAGCGGCUCUUACCACGAUUAUAGAGACAAAACCACUAUAUUCCCUAAAUCUCGUAGGUGUACUGGUACCAGCUGUUACCGGACUUCGGUUUAAAACAAAAACAAGUCUGUUUACCGGCACGCGACUUGACGCCUCGUACACCGACCACGAACGCCGUCACCAUCUCGUCGCAGCCGCUCGCACCGCGUUCGUCACCGGUCUCGACGUACCUAUCGACGUUCGUACGGUAGGUUGUGUUGUGAAGUUCAUACUGUUACAGGUGAGAUGUGGUUCUAUAACCAGUCAACCCUCUACUCCACCAAACGGUCUAUUCUUUGUCUUAUUCCUGUUAUUCCUCGCAAUUAACCUGGUACAGUACCACUCGAACCUCGUGUCUUAAAAUGUCCUCUACCAGCAGCAUUUUGACCCAUGAAUUCUAGUUCCCUUCAUAUUGUAAAAAAACUUUCGAUUCAUUUUGUUUAAAUGAAACACCCAGAUUAAAUUAAAAAGAUACAAGUAUUAAAGAACGCACUUAUCUAUCUUGUUCGGCUCGUCCCGUAGUUGAUGGAUGAGUACGAAAUCAAGUGAAAGAAUCAUAAACACAAGAAUUAGAACCAAAAGUGACCAAACACGAGAUAGGAGAGUUCGAUCUAAACUUAAACAACAGUAUCUUUGUUAAAAAAUAGCGGAAAUUAUCAUAUAUCUCUAUUAGGUCAAUACAUACGUUUUAAUACGUUCUAGGAGUCACUCCUAUAAAAAAAGACUUGGGUAAUCGUCGGAGACGUAGGAAGACGGAAUCGGACUAGUUAAAAAGGGUGACACGGUAAAAAAACGGUUGUAUUACCUUGCUUCCACAGUUUAUACGUAGGCAAGUUUUAAACCACAGUUAGCCAAAAACCUCCUAACGUACUUACAAGUAGUAUAAAGGUUAUCAUCCUAUAAUUUUUAGGGGAAAAGGGAUACUACAAAUAGAAAAGCCCAAAAUCGAUUACUGUUACAAAGAACCACACGGUCACCGGUUCACACAUAUAAUAACCUGGAAAAUGUAAGCUAUAAUUGUGAGGUCUUGAAUUGUGUAAAAAUCGGACGAUCCCUUUGAAGGUAAAUUACAAUAGUUAAAAGAACGUCGUUUGAAGUUUCAAGAACUAUGAAGACAAACGUGAAUAAAAAGUGUCCGAGCGUAUAUAAUCACAACACGUCAAAUCUAGAGUUAUACUACAGCUAAAGAAAAUGUCCAUUCCGUUCUCGAGGCGGACGACGAUGAUGCUAGCCGGCGACGGGAUGCGACCGGCUCCGACGUGUAGUAGCGGAUGAGGUGGUACGAUGUGGAACCCUAACGACCGACGGCUUCAGCUGCGGUAGACAGCGGGGAGUUGUGAAAAAAUCUUAGUACCUUUUAGAGAACCAGAGAAGUGACACGACAUUAAACAAAGAUACGAAAUGCAAAAGAACACAGUACGGAGGUCCUGAAACAAAAGAAUGAUAUCAACGUAAUCGUACUCCGAGAAGACAUUAUACGUCCUGAUGAAGGUUUGUUGUAUGUUUAACAAGAUCUACAGGGGUGUGUAAGAUAAAGGUUACGUAUCUUGGGUUUGUAUACGAAAAGCCUACAGAGCCCAUACCUUAAUUA
rnacentral:rRNA from 1 species